ACUGCGAGUGAAGCGGCAAGAGCUCAAAUUUGAAAGCUGGCACCUUUGGUGUCCGCGUUGUAAUUUGGAGAGGCAUCUUCGGGUGGGGCGCCGGUUCAAGUUCCUUGGAACAGGACGUCACAGAGGGUGAGAAUCCCGUGCGUGGCUGGCUGUCCCCGUCCAUGUGAAGUGUCUUCGACGAGUCGAGUUGUUUGGGAAUGCAGCUCAAAAUGGGUGGUAAACUCCAUCUAAAGCUAAAUACUGGCGAGAGACCGAUAGCGCACAAGUAGAGUGAUCGAAAGAUGAAAAGCACUUUGAAAAGAGAGUUAAAAAGUACGUGAAAUUGUUGAAAGGGAAGCGCUUGAGACCAGACUCAGCGCGGGGUAUUCAUCUCCCGUUCUCGGGGGUGUACUUGCCUCGUGUUGGGCCAGCAUCGGUUGUGGCGGCGGGAUAAAGGCCUGGGGAACGUGGCUCGCCUCGGUGAGUGUUACAGCCCUGGGCGUCAUGCCGCCUGCCGCGACCGAGGACCGCGCUUCGGCUAGGAUGCUGGCGUAAUGGUCUUCAGCGACCCGUCUUGAAACACGGACCAAGGAGUCUAACAUCUAUGCGAGUGUUCGGGUGUCAAACCCUUGCGCGGAAUGAAAGUGAACGGAGGUGUGAAGCCGCAAGGCCGCAACAUCGACCGAUCCUGAAGUUUACGGAUGGAUUUGAGUAGGAGCAUAGCUGUUGGGACCCGAAAGAUGGUGAACUAUGCCUGAAUAGGGUGAAGCCAGAGGAACUCUGGUGGAGGCUCGCAGCGGUUCUGACGUGCAAAUCGAUCGUCAAAUUUGGGUAUAGGGGCGAAAGACUAAUCGAACCAUCUAGUA
rnacentral:rRNA from 1 species